GAGACUUUAGCUCAGUGGUAGAGCAUCUCACUUUUAAUGAGAGGGUCGAUGGUUCGAACCCAUCAAGUCUCA
rnacentral:tRNA from 8 species